AAGCAAUAAGCACAAACAUGGACUCAGCAUUUUGAGAAUGCAUUAAAUACCCCUUCUGUCUCCUAAUUUCCCUAGAUGUGAAUUCCUACCCUUUUGCUGGAAAUCUCAAGGCACAAUGCCAAGACAACAGCUGCUAUCAGAGGCAGAAAGCUUUUCCAAAGAAAGUGAGGUCUGACUACAAGCAAUUGGCCUAGCUGCAGCCUGAUGGUGUUUAUGUGGAAAAAAGCAUCUCUGUUAAUAAGAGGGCAUGGGGCACAGAGCAAAAUGGAUUGAGUACAGCGACAAGAUAUUUGCUGCCUGCCCUGGAAACCAGGCCAGAUGGAGAGAAAUCUGAUUCAAGACUGGGUCUGUGGAAGCAUCUGUCUACUUUCUGGCUUCAGUUUAUUUGUGAUAUGGUACAAAUUAUUUGGCAUCUAGGA